rnacentral:rRNA from 1 species
ACCCGUUGAUCCUGCGGGCGGCUACUGCUAGUAGGAUUCGAUUUAGCCAUGCAAGUCAGGCAGCAAUGCCGGCGCAAUGCUCAGUAACAAGUCAUUAAUCUGCCCUUGGGCCUGGGAUAUCUUCGGGAAACUGAAGGGAAAACCGGAUAUGGGAGAAAUACUGGAAUGUUUUUUCCUUUAAAGGCAACACCCAAGGAUGAGAUGGCGGCGGAUUAGGUAGUUGGUGAGGUAAAGGCUCACCAAGCCAGAUAUCCGUAGGGGCCUUGAGAGAGGUAGCCCCGAGAAGGACACUGAGAUACUGGUCCUAGCUCCACGGAGUGCAGCAGGCGCGAAAUCUCCCCAAUGUGCGAAAGCGUGAGGGGGGAAUCCUACGUGCAUGUGCGAUUUAGCAUAUGCUUUUGCCAAAGGCAAAUACUUUGGCGAAUAAGUGGUGGGCAAGACGGGUGCCAGCCGCCGCGGUAACACCCGCGCCACGAGUGGUAGCCACAUUUAUUGGGUCUAAAGCGUUCGUAGCCGGUCAGGUAAAUUCACUGUGAAAUUGUAAGGCUUAACCUUACAGUGUGCAGUGGACACUGCCAGACUAGGGACCGGGAGGAGCUAGAGGUAUUCUUGGGGGAGCGGUAAAAUGCUAUAAUCCCAAGAGGACCACCUGUGGCGAAAGCGUCUAGCUAGAACGGAUCCGACGGUGAGGAACGAAAGCUGGGGGAGCAAUCCGGAUUAGAUACCCGAGUAGUCCCAGCCGUAAACGCUGCGAGCUAGGUGUUGCAUAUUCUUCGUGAAUAUGCAGUGUCGAAGUGAAGACGAUAAGCUCGCCACCUGGGAAUUACGGUCGCAAGACUGAAACUUAAAGGAAUUGGCGGGGGAGCACCACAAGGGGUGCGGCGUGCGGUUUAAUCUAACUCAACACAGAGCAUCUCACCAGGGUCGACGGCAGGAUGAAGGUCAGUCUAAAGGGCUUACCUGACGAGCCGAGAGGUAGUGCAUGGCCGUCGUCAGCUCGUGCCGCAAGGUGUCCUGUUAAGUCAGGCAACGAGCGAGACCCGCAUUCAUAAUUGCUAACGGCCUCAUCGAGGGACUGAGCACACUAUGAACACUGCCCGUGAAAACGGGAGGGAGGCGCGGGCAACGGUAGGUCUGUAUGCUCCGAAUACUCUGGGCUACACGCGCGCAACAAUGGUAGGGACAAUGGGAUGCAACACCGAAAGGUGAAGCUAAACCUCUAAACCCUAUCUUAGUUCAGAUUGAGGGCUGUAACUCGCCCUCAUGACGACGGAAUCCCUAGUAAUCGGGUGUCAAAAGCGCCCGGUGAAUAUGUCCCUGCUCCUUGCACACACCGCCCGUCAAACCAAUCGAGCAGGGUUUGGGUGAGAUAUAGGUUAUUGCCUAUAUCGAAUCUGAUCUCAGUGAGGUGGGUUAAGUCGUCACAAGGUA